GAUGAACGCUGGCGGCGUGCCUAAUACAUGCAAGUCGAGCGAACAGAUAAGGAGCUUGCUCCUUUGACGUUAGCGGCGGAUGGGUGAGUAACACGUGGGUAACCUACCUAUAUGACUGGAAUAACUCCGGGAAACCGGGGUUAAUGCCGGAUAAAAUUUAGAACCGCAGGGUUCUAAAGUGAAAGUUGGUUUUGCUAUCACUUAUAGAUGGAACCGCGCCGUAUUAGCUAGUUGGUAAGGUAACGGCUUACCAAGGCAAGGAUACGUAGCCGACCUCGGAGAGUGGUAGGCCACCCUGGAGCGUGAACGCCGUCCAUGCUCCUGAGAGAGGGCGCAGUAUGGUAUCGGACGCAGUAGGGGAAAACAUGACGGAACGGCGGCACGUGAGUGAUAGAGGUGUUCGGAUCGUAAAACUCUGUUAUUAGUGAAGAACAAAUGUGUAAGUAACUGUGCACGUCUUGACGGUACCUGAUCAGAAAGCCACGGCUAACUACGUG
rnacentral:rRNA from 1 species